CCAGCAUCUGCAGUUCCUUCUUUAAAACAUCACCGACACCGCUGCGCGGUAGGAAUUUACAACAUAUUGGCUCAGUAAUGAAAAUAGUAUGGCAAAAUAUUUCCAACUUACAAUGGUGAGCGAGUGUAAAACAUGUGCGUCGGGAGACCACAUACCAGUUUUCAUUCAUGGG